UUGAAGACCCCGGCAGGCGGAUUUCGGGGACUUCCUUCGUGUGACGCUUUUAUGUGGCUGGAUCGGGGUCUGUGACUGAAUGCCACGAGUGAGGUUUAUAGAUCCAUCUUUUAUGCCCUGGUGUUGUAAAGAUUCACUGCAAAUUCCCGAAUUCUCAGUCAUUGUGGCCAGUGAAAACUAUGUGAGAUGUUUCCAGGGAAUGCUACAUUUACCCAUUUAGGAUGUGAACCAGGAGCCAAAGGAAGAAAUCACUUGUUAAUACUUUAGUAGUAUUAUGUAAAGAAAAAAUAAGAUGGGGGUUUAUUAAAUAUGGGGAGGAGAAAUGUUAAUAAUGAUAUUAAGUAUUGACUGAUUAACAUCAAUUAAUCAGUAAUAUCAGUCAAUUGAUCUUUAUAAUGAUCAUUAUUUCAACAUAAAAAUUGCAAAUAGUACAUGUUCUAUUGUGAGAAAACUGUGUUUUUGCAAAAUAGCAAACAAUUGUGUAUAAAACCAUGCUUUUGCCUACUUUGUUAUACGGACAUAUCAGGAGAAACUUACAUGUUAAAUAGGGAAGGUACUUAAGUAGUAUGUACAUGUCAUAAAAAAGAGAUGGAUUUAAUAUUGAAUAGAUGGUGAAUUAAUGUGAACUGAAUACAAAAAUGAAUGAUUAAUAUGGAAGUGUGUUGCAAAGGUUUGGCUAACUAGAGAGAAUAUAUGAAGACUGAAUUCCAAAAUAAAGAUAUAGGAAGGAUGAAUAGGUACAAAGCUUAAGGGUGACCUUGAGCCAGUCAUGUCAGACCUAGGAAACAGGCAAUGGCAAACUGCUUCUGAAAAACCUUGCCAAAAACUGCACACACACACACACACACACACACACAGUCUCUCCAAAAUACGCUACAUAAUACUACGAAAGAGAAUAAUUUUGUACAGCACCAGAAACUUGCAACCCAAGAGGAAUUUUGGUAUCAUAAGAGCCAGUGUGGUAUGGGUAAGUUGUUGAACUUCUAAUCUGCCCUUGGACAUGGAAGUUCAUUGGGGAUUCUGGGCUAGCCAUUCUCUGUCAACUCAAUGUACCACUCAGAUUUGCUAUUGUGGGGAAGAAUAGGAGGAGGAAACACCAGCAUAUUGCCUUGAGCUCCUGUACAAAUAAAAUAAAAGUUAAUAUUAUCUUCCCUUUCCACCAUUGCUUCUUGACCCUCACUCUACCCUUAUUGCCCUGAGAUGAAAAUAGAUAUAGCCACUGGCAGAAAUCUUUCUUCCCUUAGAUCUUCAGAAUAGUAUCUCUGUCAUGACUGGAUCUUAAUACUAAUAAUCCUGUGCCUCUUUGAUCCCAUUAACCACCUUCUUUAGUUCCUGAAACAGAUUAUUAUGCUUUUGUAAGUGGUGGAGCUGUUGGUUUUCCUUAUUUGUCACACUUUCGGUUUACAGCAGCUCUAGCAAGUUUGGUCUGUCUGGUGUGUAGCAAAGGUAUUUGAUUGCUAUCUUGUCAGUUUAAGCCAGUCUGUCAGGUGGACAACCAGUUUUUAUGUUUCUAGAAUUACAUAUUUGAACAGUAAUAUUACGUUACAAAGCUGUAUAUAUCUUCCCUAGUAUAAACUCCAAUGGGACUUACUUAAUAUUGAUUUAUUUAAUUUAUUUAUAUGGCUUCCUAUCUUGUAAAAGUGACUUUAGGCAGCUAAUAAUACAUUAAAAUCAAUUUUAAAAUAUUAACAAAGGUAAGCACCUACAGUGGUCACUGAGGGUAAAAGCCAAACAAAACUACAAAACCCUCUCAGUGGGUCAUGUAACAUUCCAAUCCCUAGGCCCUGGAGCACCCCCUUGCUUUACAAAAAGCUGGCAGAAUUAGGGCCAAUCUAAUUUCAUGGGGUGUGGUGUUUCAGAUAUGUUCCAACUUUAUAAACUUUAUCUAUUCCUUAAAUUAUUCAGUAAGUAUGUAUGGCUGCCCACCUACCAUUGGAACUCUGGUUGAUGAACAAACAAAUAAAAAAUCAAAAUCAACAAAAGGCACAUUACCCAAACUGUGGAAAUUCAAUGAAACUUAAGGCAAGAUACAUGCAUCCUCUAAGCUAAGGAAUCCUGAGUGACCUGUUGCAAAAUGUUUCCAUGAUACAUUUUGCUGAAAGUUGUUCAUUUCCAAAUGUGAAAUGGAUCUUCCAGCUCUGUAUGUAAUGAAGUCAUCCUUUACUUCAGACAUGUCAAACUCGCAACAUCACAUGAUAUUGCGCAAUGUAUCGGGACAGUUUUGCCAUUGCCGGCAGUUUGACACCCCUGCUUUACUUGAUUCUAAAUUGACUUGUUCACCAAUUUUCUCAGUAGUAUGUGGUUAACUUGUCUAUGUUAAUCAUUGAACCAUAUUUUUUGCAUCCCCAUAAGUUAUCCACACUGUCUAGAACAGUGGUUCUCAACCUUUCUAAUGCCACGACCCCAUAAUACAGUUCCCCAUGUUGUGGUGACCCCCAACCACUUAUACAUCACCGGGUGCCAGGGGCAUGGCCAAAGAAAAGGGGGAAAAAUGGCGGACAGCCUUGUUUGGCGACCCCCGUGAAAUGGUCGUUCGACCCCAAAUGGGGUCCCGACCCACAGGUUGAGAACCACUGGUCUAGAAGUACACAGAAAAGUAAUCUGAUGAGUGGCAGGCCAAUUUACUUCAAUAUGCUGUGGGAAAACAGGUACUGAGAGUUCAGCAAAAAUGUAUUUAUUUCUAAGUAGAAAUAUGUAUUAUCAUAUGCACUCUUAUAAACUGAAGUUCUACUUGCUAUGCAUCUGUUUCAAAAUACUAGCCAUUAUGAAUAACUCUUGAGUUCAAUUCCUUUCUCCCGGUGCAAAUAAAUGUAUUUUCUUGCUUUA